UUGGACAACAAAUAGCUCAUUUGGUUGAGCAUGAGACUCUUAAUCUCAGGGUCAUGGGUUUGAGCCCCACAUUGCAGAAAAU